rnacentral:rRNA from 1 species
AACGUAGGAGCCAAGCGUUAUCCGAAUUUACUGGGCGUAAAGCGCGUGCAGGCGGCCUGGCGAGUGGAUUGUGAAAUCUCCCGGCUCAACUGGGAGGGGACGGUCCAAACUGCCGGGCUGGAGGCAGGUAGAGGGAGGUGGAAUUCCCGGUGUAGUGGUGAAAUGCGUAGAGAUCGGGAGGAACACCCGUGGCGAAAGCGGCCUCCUGGACCUGACCUGACGCUCAGACGCGAAAGCUAGGGGAGCGAACGGG